AUUGAACGCUGGCGGCAUGCUUUACACAUGCAAGUCGAACGGUAACAGGCCGCAAGGUGCUGACGAGUGGCGAACGGGUGAGUAAUGCAUCGGAACGUGCCCAGUCGUGGGGGAUAACUACUCGAAAGAGUAGCUAAUACCGCAUACGAUCUAUGGAUGAAAGCGGGGGACCGUAAGGCCUCGCGCGAUUGGAGCGGCCGAUGUCAGAUUAGGUAGUUGGUGGGGUAAAGGCUCACCAAGCCAACGAUCUGUAGCUGGUCUGAGAGGACGACCAGCCACACUGGGACUGAGACACGGCCCAGACUCCUACGGGAGGCAGCAGUGGGGAAUUUUGGACAAUGGGCGCAAGCCUGAUCCAGCAAUGCCGCGUGCAGGAAGAAGGCCUUCGGGUUGUAAACUGCUUUUGUACGGAACGAAACGGCUCUGGUUAAUACCCGGGGCUAAUGACGGUACCGUAAGAAUAAGCAUCGGCUAACUACGUG
rnacentral:rRNA from 1 species